GGAUUGUAGUCUGCAACUCGACUACAUGAAGCUGGAAUCGCUAGUAAUCGCAGAUCAGAAUGCUGCGGUGAAUACGUUCCCGGGCCUUGUACACACCGCCCGUCACACCAUGAGAGCCGGUAAUACCCGAAGUCAGUAUCCUAACCGCAAGGAGGGAGCUGCCGAAGGUAGGAUUGGCGAUUGGGGUGAAGUCGUAACAAGGUAGC
rnacentral:rRNA from 1 species